rnacentral:rRNA from 1 species
GUUUGAUCCUGGCUCAGAUUGAACGCUGGCGGCAUGCCUUACACAUGCAAGUCGAACGGCAGCACGGGAGCAAUCCUGGUGGCGAGUGGCGAACGGGUGAGUAAUAUAUCGGAACGUGCCCAGUCGUGGGGGAUAACGCAGCGAAAGCUGUGCUAAUACCGCAUACGAUCUACGGAUGAAAGCGGGGGACUCAGCAAUGAGCCUCGCGCGAUUGGAGCGGCCGAUAUCAGAUUAGCUAGUUGGUGGGGUAAAAGCCCACCAAGGCGACGAUCUGUAGCUGGUCUGAGAGGACGACCAGCCACACUGGAACUGAGACACGGUCCAGACUCCUACGGGAGGCAGCAGUGGGGAAUUUUGGACAAUGGGCGCAAGCCUGAUCCAGCAAUGCCGCGUGCAGGAUGAAGGCCUUCGGGUUGUAAACUGCUUUUGUACGGAACGAAAAGGUCUGCCCUAAUACGGCGGGCUCAUGACGGUACCGUAAGAAUAAGCACCGGCUAACUACGUGCCAGCAGCCGCGGUAAUACGUAGGGUGCGAGCGUUAAUCGGAAUUACUGGGCGUAAAGCGUGCGCAGGCGGUUAUAUAAGACAGAUGUGAAAUCCCCGGGCUCAACCUGGGACCUGCAUUUGUGACUGUAUAGCUAGAGUACGGUAGAGGGGGAUGGAAUUCCGCGUGUAGCAGUGAAAUGCGUAGAUAUGCGGAGGAACACCGAUGGCGAAGGCAAUCCCCUGGACCUGUACUGACGCUCAUGCACGAAAGCGUGGGGAGCAAACAGGAUUAGAUACCCUGGUAGUCCACGCCCUAAACGAUGUCAACUGGUUGUUGGGUCUUCACUGACUCAGUAACGAAGCUAACGCGUGAAGUUGACCGCCUGGGGAGUACGGCCGCAAGGUUGAAACUCAANGAAUUGACGGGGACCCG